rnacentral:pre_miRNA from 2 species
UUGACAGAAGAGAGUGAGCACACAAUCGCACUGCAUGUUCGAUGCACUUGCUUUUCUUGCGUGCUCACUGCUCUAUCUGUCAG